rnacentral:rRNA from 1 species
GACGAACGCUGGCGGCGUGCUUAACACAUGCAAGUCGAACGGAAAGGCCUCUUUCGGGUGGUACUCGAGUGGCGAACGGGUGAGUAACACGUGAGUAACCUGCCCUUGACUUUGGGAUAACUUCAGGAAACUGGGUCUAAUACCGGAUAGGAGCUCCUGCUGCACGGUGGGGGUUGGAAAGUUUCGGCGGUUGGGGAUGGACUCGCGGCUCAUCAGCUUGUUGGUGGGGUAGUGGCUUACCAAGGCUUUGACGGGUCGCCGGCCUGAGAGGGUGACCGGCCACAUUGGGACUGAGAUACGGCCCAGACUCCUACGGGAGGCAGUAGUGGGGAAUAUUGCACAAUGGGUGGGAGCCUGAUGCAGCGAUGCCGGGUGCGGGAUGACGGCCUUCGGGUUGUAAACCGCUUUCGCUCAUGACGAAGCUUUGUGUGACGGUAGUGGGUAAAGAAGCACCGGCUAACUACGUG